UCUGGGUUUAUCCCAGCGGUCCCGUCAGAAAGAUUUAACUGACAGCGAGGGUUGCGCUCGUUGCGGGACUUAACCCAACACCUCACGGCACGAGCUGACGACAGCCAUACAGCACCUGUGCUAGCUCCCCGAAGGGUCCCUCGCCUUUCGGUCCGGUACCACUAGCAUGUCAAACCCUGGUAAGGUUCUUCGCGUUGCAUCGAAUUAAACCACACGCUCCGCCGCUUGUGCGGGCCCCCGUCAAUUCCUUUGAGUUUUAGCCUUGCGGCCGUACUCCCCAGGCGGGAUGCUUAAAGCGUUAGCUGCGGCACGGAGGGGGUCGAUACCCCCCACACCUAGCAUCCACCGUUUAGGGCGUGGACUAC
rnacentral:misc_RNA from 1 species